rnacentral:lncRNA from 1 species
GUUGUGAUUUCAAGAACAUUUAAUUCUGAAUUCAUAGAUCUAACCUUGAAUUCAAGAAAAAUGAAUUGCUCGAUUGGCACUGCUAUAAACUAGUCAGAAAUUCUCCAUUUUCCAUCGAAGACAGCAAAUUUAGAUUAAAUCGGAAUCAAAUCGAAGUAAAUAAUAUAUCAGGAUAACAAUCAAUCAUCGAAUACAAGAAGAGAAAACUUUGAAUUAAAUCGAAAUAAAUAAUUGUGUAGAUCUGACGUAGAUCUACCGGGAACCUAAUCAAUUAUCGAAUGAAUUAAAUUGAAUAUAAAUCGAAAUAAAUAAUUGAGCUAGACAUAGAUCUAUCGGGAAAGUAGAUCUGCGAGUACAAUCGAUCAUUGAAGAAAACAAAAAAAUUGAAGAAAAUUUUAAAUUAAAUCAGUUCAAAAUCAAAAUAAAUCAAGAGAUACAACUGGAAUCCGGAGCUGGAGUACUGAUCCAGCGACAGAGAGAGGCCGCAACCGCCGUCGAGUAUCUGUUAGUACUGGAAGUACUGGAAGGAUUGGAGGCGAGAGAGAGAAAAGAGGAGAGAGAGGCUCUGGUACCGAAAAAAGAAAAAAGAGAAGAGAGAGAGAAAAGAGGAGAGAGAGAAGAGAAAACAGAAGAGAGAGAGAGAGGAGAGAGAGGUUCGAAAAA